GAGUUUGAUCAUGGCUCAGAUUGAACGCUGGCGGCAGGCCUAACACAUGCAAGUCGAACGGUAACAGGAAACAGCUUGCUGUUUCGCUGACGAGUGGCGGACGGGUGAGUAAUGUCUGGGAAACUGCCUGAUGGAGGGGGAUAACUACUGGAAACGGUAGCUAAUACCGCAUAACGUCGCAAGACCAAAGAGGGGGACCCUCGGGCCUCUUGCCAUCGGAUGUGCCCAGAUGGGAUUAGCUUGUUGGUGGGGUAACGGCUCACCAAGGCGACGAUCCCUAGCUGGUCUGAGAGGAUGACCAGCCACACUGGAACUGAGACACGGUCCAGACUCCUACGGGAGGCAGCAGUGGGGAAUAUUGCACAAUGGGCGCAAGCCUGAUGCAGCCAUGCCGCGUGUAUGAAGAAGGCCUUCGGGUUGUAAAGUACUUUCAGCGGGGAGGAAGGGAGUAAAGUUAAUACCUUUGCUCAUUGACGUUACCCGCAGAAGAAGCACCGGCUAACUCCGUGCCAGCAGCCGCGGUAAUACGGAGGGUGCAAGCGUUAAUCGGAAUUACUGGGCGUAAAGCGCACGCAGGCGGUUUGUUAAGUCAGAUGUGAAAUCCCCGGGCUCAACCUGGGAACUGCAUCUGAUACUGGCAAGCUUGAGUCUCGUAGAGGGGGGUAGAAUUCCAGGUGUAGCGGUGAAAUGCGUAGAGAUCUGGAGGAAUACCGGUGGCGAAGGCGGCCCCCUGGACGAAGACUGACGCUCAGGUGCGAAAGCGUGGGGAGCAAACAGGAUUAGAUACCCUGGUAGUCCACGCCGUAAACGAUGUCGACUUGGAGGUUGUGCCCUUGAGGCGUGGCUUCCGGAGCUAACGCGUUAAGUCGACCGCCUGGGGAGUACGGCCGCAAGGUUAAAACUCAAAUGAAUUGACGGGGGCCCGCACAAGCGGUGGAGCAUGUGGUUUAAUUCGAUGCAACGCGAAGAACCUUACCUGGUCUUGACAUCCACGGAAGUUUUCAGAGAUGAGAAUGUGCCUUCGGGAACCGUGAGACAGGUGCUGCAUGGCUGUCGUCAGCUCGUGUUGUGAAAUGUUGGGUUAAGUCCCGCAACGAGCGCAACCCUUAUCCUUUGUUGCCAGCGGUCCGGCCGGGAACUCAAAGGAGACUGCCAGUGAUAAACUGGAGGAAGGUGGGGAUGACGUCAAGUCAUCAUGGCCCUUACGACCAGGGCUACACACGUGCUACAAUGGCGCAUACAAAGAGAAGCGACCUCGCGAGAGCAAGCGGACCUCAUAAAGUGCGUCGUAGUCCGGAUUGGAGUCUGCAACUCGACUCCAUGAAGUCGGAAUCGCUAGUAAUCGUGGAUCAGAAUGCCACGGUGAAUACGUUCCCGGGGCCUUGUACACACCGCCCGUCACACCAUGGGAGUGGGUUGCAAAAGAAGUAGGUAGCUUAACCUUCGGGAGGGCGCUUACCACUUUGUGAUUCAUGACUGGGGUGAAGUCGGAACAAGGUA
rnacentral:rRNA from 1 species